GGGCCUGGCUAGAGGCCGGAGCAGAAUUGUGGGAGGCUGGCGCCACUGCAGGUUGAGCCUCCGUUGCCCUGAGCUCAGAGGACUAGAGCAAUUUGGUUCUUUUUGAGUCCUCCAAGGAGCGGCCAGAGGAAGAGACAGUCUAUAGACUGUUUCUUGGAAAUAGGGUUCCACGACGUGGACCAGGCUAGCCCCAAACCCUUCAGCUCAAGUGAUGCUGAUUCAGCCUCCCAAGUACUGAGGACCCCAGGCACGUGCUGCCAUGCCACUCCACAGAUGUAUUUAUCCUAAAGGUAGGUAAAGUACACCCAGGUAACGCUAUCUCAAGUGGCACACAGACAGACAGACAGCCUGUGCCAAAACAUCUAUCGCUGCUGACUGAAGCCUACGAAUCAACAUCAAGGCCAUCAAGCAGAGAACACGCACACCUAGAAUACAAUUGGGGAGGGGGGGAACGACAAAAAUUUAACUCUUUGUCCAAGUCUCUAGAAAAUGAGGGAGACACAUGUCACAUGUUAUACAUAUGGGUCACCUGUUGGUUGGUUUAUGCAGCCCACAGUAAACAUCACCAAUGUUUGUUUUUCCAAAGCAUAAAAGAAAAACCUGGGUACACAGGUAACAGGAAUGGUUUUAAGUGUAUUGUACUUUCUGUAGCAAAUAUCAAAUAUCAGUACAUUAAAAAAAGUUUUGUUGCAGGUAUCAGAUGAUGAAAAUAAUGUGUGCUGUGUUUAUAGUAAUAACAUGAUUGAGAUACAAAAAAAAAAGAACUGAGAAAAGGCAGAGAACUUGAAAAGCAAAAACUGAAAAUCAGAUAGUUAUAAGGGAAAAACAGUUGAUUUCAUUGAGAAGAUGAAACUUCUAUAGUUUCUUCUAUAGUGAAACUCUGGCUAAACUGGUUUCUACUGCUAUUUUUCAUUUAACUAUUUCACUUAAAAUGCUUCCAGUUUUAAUAACCAUACUAAUUGUAACAGUAAAUAUAGAUUUUUGAUUCAACCUCUGAUUUAAACUUUUGCUAAAUCCUCAAAACAAUACCUUUAAUCCUCACAAUAGAGAAUUUUUAGUUGCAUUUUAAUGUCACUAAUCUUUUUGAUGUCCCUGGGCUUGGUUUAUCUCUACAAAAGAACAAGGAAGUUAGACCAGGCAUUUUCCUAGAUCUGAGUCAGAAAGAAAACUGAGCUUACUUGAACCUUAUACAGAUCUGUUUAAAUGUACUACUUACCUUCUGUGGGUUCAGAACUUUAAUGACUUGUGUGAUGGUCCCUGUAUUAAAGGCUGGGACGACGCUGCUGCUAGGAGACAGAAGCUGCAGCUGGAAUGUCUACAGAGGAACAAAGGACACGCAUGAGAACAAAUAGCAGUGUUGGGUCAAAGAAGCCAGCAAGUAAGCAGUUAGCCGGCCAGCAGGUUAGAAAGAAGAGAAAAUGGACAAAACAAAAGCAGCCAAGCAAUGAGAACGAAGGAGGGUUAUAAGCUUAGUAAACGCAGCACAAACAACAAGUGUCCUUCGGGGACUACAAGAACAAGUCACUCAGGAUGCCAGAGGUACAGGUACUGCUUGGUUUCUUUUGCUCACCUCAUGUGGUCAUACUUCUUAAAAAGUGCAUUGUAUUCUACUGCCCUCUGUUGGAGCUCUACGUCGAUGCUGCUUCCAUAGAUGGAAACUACUUUCUUAAUUCGGCUGUAGGACAGAGAAUAUGAUAAAUGAAAUCAUUCAAAACACAAAAUUUAUAAUCAAGCAGUGAAAAUGUUAAAAACAAGAGUUUCUUGGUUAAAAUUCUGAAUUAUCUGUUUGCUUAAUUCAAAUUGUGUUUCAAGAAUAAAUAUAAUUCUCUUA